rnacentral:rRNA from 1 species
AUACGUAGGGGGCAAGCGUUGUCCGGAAUUAUUGGGCGUAAAGGGCACGCAGGCGGUUCCUUAAGUCUGAUGUGAAAGCCCGUGGCUCAACCACGGAGGGUCAUUGGAAACUGGGGAACUUGAGAACUGAAGAGGAGAGUGGAAUUCCACGUGUAGCGGUGAAAUGCGUAGAUAUGUGGAGGAACACCAGUGGCGAAGGCGACUCUCUGGUCGGUUUCUGACGCUGAGGUGCGAAAGCGUGGGUAGCAAACAGGAUUAGAUACCCUGGUAGUCCACGCCGUAAACGAUGAGUGCUAGGUGUUAGGGGGCUUCCACCCCUUAGUGCUGAAGUUAACGCAUUAAGCACUCCGCCUGGGGAGUACGGCCGCAAGGCUGAAACUCAAAGGAAUUGACGGGGCCCGCACAAGCGGUGGAGCAUGUGGUUUAAUUCGAAGCAACGCGAAGAACCUUACCAGGUCUUGACAUCCUUGGACACUUCCAGAGAUGGAAGGUUCCCUUCGGGGACCAAGUGACAGGUGGUGC